AGGCUAAAGUACCAUUUCCAGUCUUUUUGAAGUUUGUUCUAUUUGUUCCUAUACUUUUAAUAAAUCUUAUAAAUCAUUUGGCCCCUCAAAGUUAAUUUUGGUAUGGCUAAAUAAUAAGAAUGAUAAUUUUCAAACCAUGUGAAUAUAUUUUCAAAAGUCAGACUAAAAGGGCUAAUAAACAAUAAAGCAGCAAAAAUUUAUUCAGAGUAUUCAAAGACCAAACGGACACAUUAUAACCAAUGAAUAUAUUCUUAGGUUACUUUUGUAGACUGAUCAACUAAUUCAAUAAUAAAGUAAACUAGAAAAGCAAGAUUUAAUAAUAAAUUUUUGGUGCGUGAGAAUCUUUCAAGUUGAACAAUAUCUCUUUUAGUUAUUUAAAUUUAAGAUAUAUACAAGUGUUGUUGAAGUUGUAAUCGAAAGAAAAAAGACUUUAACUUUGCUUCUUCUAUUCUCGAUUCUUUACUUCCUAUGCUUUCAAAUCAAGUCGUGCUCGCAUUGUGUUACUAUCAAAAUUCAAACUAAAUGACAUAAUACAAUAAUGCAGUUUUUAAGUGUGGUUUUAUGUUAUGGUCAGUUUAUAUUUAUGUAAUUCUCUCGUUUUUAUAUUUAUGAAAAUUCUUUAUCUAAUAUUUCGACAUCUCUUAGCAGCGAAAGCCGAAAGGAGACGACAAUGAAGAAGAAAUGAGAUGGAAGUUUUACCUGAUGGAAUAGGUUUGGGUGCCCA
rnacentral:lncRNA from 1 species